AUACGGAGGGGGCUAGCGUUGUUCGGAAUUACUGGGCGUAAAGCGCACGUAGGCGGAUUAAAAAGUUAGAGGUGAAAUCCCAGGGCUUAACCCUGGAACUGCCUUUAAAACUAGUAGUCUUGAGUUCGAGAGAGGUGAGUGGAAUUCCAAGUGUAGAGGUGAAAUUCGUAGAUAUUUGGAGGAACACCAGUGGCGAAGGCGGCUCACUGGCUCGAUACUGACGCUGAGGUGCGAAAGCGUGGGGAGCAAACAGGAUUAGAAACCCGAGUAGUCC
rnacentral:rRNA from 1 species